GACGAACGCUGGCGGCGUGCUUAACACAUGCGAGUCGAACGAAGAGCGAUGGAAGCUUGCUUCUAUCAAUCUUAGUGGCGAACGGGUGAGUAACGCGUAAUCAACCUGCCCUUCAGAGGGGGACAACAGUUGGAAACGACUGCUAAUACCGCAUACGAUCUAACCUCGGCAUCGAGGAAAGAUGAAAGGUGGCCUCUAUGUAUAAGCUAUCACUGAAGGAGGGGAUUGCGUCUGAUUAGCUAGUUGGAGGGGUAACGGCCCACCAAGGCGAUGAUCAGUAGCCGGUCUGAGAGGAUGAACGGCCACAUUGGGACUGAGACACGGCCCAGACUCCUACGGGAGGCAGCAGUGUGGAAUCUUCCGCAAUGGACGAAAGUCUGACGGAGCAACGCCGCGUGAGUGAUGACGGCCUUCGGGUUGUAAAGCUCUGUUAAUCGGGACGAAAGGCCUUCUUGCGAAUAGUGAGAAGGAUUGACGGUACCGGAAUAGAAAGCCACGGCUAACUACGUG
rnacentral:rRNA from 1 species